rnacentral:misc_RNA from 1 species
UUUCCGUAGGUGAACCUGCGGAGGGAUCAUUACCGAGUGAGGGCUCCGGCCCGACCUCCAACCCCAUGUGAACCGAAACCUGUUGCUUCGGGGGCGACCCUGCCUUUCGGCGCGGCGCCUCCGGAGGCUCAUCAAACACUGCAUCUCUGCGUCGGAGUCUUAAUGAAUUUAAACAAAACUUUUAACCACGGAUCUCUUUGUUCUGGCAUCGAUGAAGAACGCAGC